CCGGCCGCUUCCAGAAUGGCUAGCCGGGCCCCCCCACUUACCCCCCCGCGCCCGGUCAACGUCUGCUGCCGGCGGCGCCCACUAACCUGCUAGUGGGGGAGCCCCGCACCGCCGUGGCCAAUGGGCUUCGCCGCUUGCGGGACCGGCAGCCAGUGGGCGGGCGGGAAAGCUGGGCUAAGCCCUGGGGCACCCUGGGAGUCGUAGUUUUUCGCCGUCGAGGAGUUCCUGCAGAGCGGGCUCACCCCGCCCGGUUGCCAUUAGUUACCCGGACGCACCUCCCACCCCACCACCGGGUAAAACGCUCCUCACACCGCUUCUGGGACACCCGCCCACACGCUCGCCCACUGAACCCCAGGUCCCCUCACAGCCCCUUAAGAGCUCCUAAGACUUCCUCUCAGCCCCCGAAUUCUGGGACCUCUCAGGCUAGGGCCCCGGGGGGCUCCUCAGCCCACUCCUUCCUGCUCUGGGGGGCUGCUGAAGUGGCACAGUCCUCACUGACGUCUCCUGGGCCUUAAGGAAGAGAAUGAAAGAGAAUCGGGCCUACGCUGAGUAGCCUGGAGAGGAGUCAGCCACACACACUCUGGGUGCCCUCGGGGUGAUGGGAGCGACUAGGUCCAUCUGACCCUAGCGGAGUCACUGCUGCUCCCACCUCUGAGGAAGAGACGCAGUUCCAGCCUUGUGGAGUCCCGGGUCUGAUGGAGGAGAGACCCUCCUCUUUAUUAAGGAAGUUCCCAAGACGGAGUCUCACUUUGUCACCCAGGCUGGAAUGCAGUGGCGAGAUCUCGGCUCACCACAACCUCCGCCUCCCAGGUUCAAGCGAUUCUCCUGCCUCAGCCUCCCAAGUAGCUGGGAUUACAG
rnacentral:lncRNA from 1 species